rnacentral:rRNA from 1 species
GACAAACAGAUCAAGUCAAGGUUUAUUCAGUAUAAAAGAAGGUUAGAAGUUGUAUAUGACGUGUAGGGAAGAUUUGACUUUCUUAGAGAGGUGGAAUUUGUAUAAGAAAGUUUGGUUUAUUUGUUUUCUUUAUUUUGAUGCCUUGAAAGUUUAAGAGAAGACCGGGAUUAGAUACCCCGUUAUUUUUACUGUAAACUUUAAUUAAUGUGUUGAUUUACUUGGGUAGUACGAGUUGCUUUGUUACGGGAAGAGCAAAGUGCUUAAAACCCAAAAAACUUGGCGGUGCCUUAUUCCUUUCAGGGGAACCUGUCCUGUAAUCGAUGGUCCACGAUUUAACUUACCUUUUUUUGCAUCCAUUAAUCUUGUUGUGCAAGUUGUGGAGCAGUUUGUAUACCGUCGUCGUCAGAUUACCUUUAAGAGUGAUAGAAGUUGUCGGGAGAGGGUUAUAGAGCUUAGGGUAAAUAAUAAUAGUUUAUCUAAGGCUUUGUUUUCUUAGAUGUCAGAUCAAGGUGCAGCUUAUAAAAAGGAAGAGAUGGGUUACAAUAAAUAUUAAAUAUACGGAUUUUUCAUUGUAAAGUGAAAUUGAAGGUGGACUUGAGAGUAAUAAUUUGAGAGAAAAUAAUGAGUUUGUAUGAAUGGUGGUGCUAAGGUGCGC